rnacentral:rRNA from 1 species
GAGUUUGAUCCUGGCUCAAGAUGAACGCUGGCGGCGUGCUUAACACAUGCAAGUCGAACGGGGAUGCCAUUUUCGAGGCGGUUAGUUUACUAAGCGCCAAGAUGCUGGCAUCUUAGUGGCGGACGGGUGAGUAACGCGUGGGUAACCUGCCUUAUACAGGGGGAUAACACUUAGAAAUAGGUGCUAAUACCGCAUAAGCGCACGGGCUGCAUGGCCCAGUGUGAAAAACUCCGGUGGUAUAAGAUGGACCCGCGUCUGAUUAGCUUGUUGGCGGGGUAACGGCCCACCAAGGCGACGAUCAGUAGCCGGCCUGAGAGGGUGGACGGCCACAUUGGGACUGAGACACGGCCCAAACUCCUACGGGAGGCAGCAGUGGGGAAUAUUGGACAAUGGGGGGAACCCUGAUCCAGCGACGCCGCGUGAGUGAAGAAGUAUUUCGGUAUGUAAAGCUCUAUCAGCAGGGAAGAAAGAAAUGACGGUACCUGACUAAGAAGCCCCGGCUAACUACGUGCCAGCAGCCGCGGUAAUACGUAGGGGGCAAGCGUUAUCCGGAUUUACUGGGUGUAAAGGGAGCGUAGACGGUUAUGCAAGUCUGGAGUGAAAGGCGGGGGCCCAACCCCCGGACUGCUUUGGAAACUGUGUAACUGGAGUGCANGAGAGGUAAGUGGAAUUCCUAGUGUAGCGGUGAAAUGCGUAGAUAUUAGGAGGAACACCAGUGGCGAAGGCGGCUUACUGGACUGGUACUGA